GGCAGUGUAGCCAAGUGGUUACGGCGUCACGUUUAGGUUAUUACAACAUUUCCGUGAUGGGUUUCCCGCGCGAGUUCGAAUCUCGUCACUGUCA